UUAUAUAAUCCAGUGUAUUUAUCCACGGCGAAGGAAACAUGUUUUUUUUGUUACGGGUCAACAACAGUUUUCCACCAGCAAAAAGUUGAAAAUCUAAAUUUUCUGCAGCGAUUUCACGACGAAUUUUCAAAAAUAAAUGUUUCAGGCUGCAUCAAGAAUAACCUAAGGAGUUGGCAGUGCCGUGCAAAGAUUUGCUGUGCUGGAUGUCCGUAAAAAUGUACUACCAUAGGCAGAUCGGGCAACGCCAUACUGAUUCCCAGAACAGCCCAAGUCACAGAGUGUCGCCGGAAACAUUCAGCCAUAUACGCAACUCACUAUCGUGAAAUCAAAGUGGAUUCCGUUUCGCAAAGAAUGUUCAGAGCCAGAGAGUGGAGAGGU